rnacentral:rRNA from 1 species
GACGAACCGAGCGAACGUUGUUCGGAAUCACUGGGCUUAAAGGGCGCGUAGGCGGGCUGUCAAGUCUGGGGUGAAAUCCCGCGGCUCAACCGCGGAACUGCCUCAGAUACUGACGGUCUCGAGGGGGGUAGGGGCGAGCGGAACUGAUGGUGGAGCGGUGAAAUGCGUUGAUAUCAUCAGGAACUCCGGUGGCGAAGGCGGCUCGCUGGACCUCUUCUGACGCUGAGGCGCGAAAGCUAGGGGAGCAAACGGG